rnacentral:rRNA from 1 species
CUAAGAAUAUUCCGCAAUGGACGGAAGUCUGACGGAGCGACGCCGCGUGGAUGACGAAGGCCGAAAGGUUGUAAAGUUCUUUUGCUGGGGAAGAAUAACCGCAGGAGGGAAUGCCUGUGGGAUGACAAGAACCGGCGAAUAAGCCCCGGCCAACUACGUGCCAGCAGCCGCGGUAACACGUAGGGGGCGAGCGUUGUUCGGAAUUACUGGGCGUAAAGGGCAUGUAAGCGGCUUGGAAAGCCUGGCGUGAAAGUCUGCAGCUUAACUGCAGGGGUGCGCUGGGAACUGCUGAGCUUGAGUGACGGAGAGGGAGCUGGAAUUCCUGGUGUAGGGGUGAAAUCUGUAGAUAUCAGGAAGAACACCGAUGGCGAAGGCAAGCUCCUGGCCGAUGACUGACGCUGAGGUGCGAAAGUGUGGGGAUCAAACAGGAUUAGAUACCCUGGUAGUCCACACAGUCAACGAUGUGCACUAGGUGCUGGGGCGGUAGCUUCGGUGCCGGAGCGAACGUGGUAAGUGCACCGCCUGGGGAGUAUGCUCGCAAGGGUGAAACUC